UUGCUGCUGACCAGCCCAUGUACACAUGACAUGUUUGAUUUGUGAUUCAUUGCUUCUGUGUAGGAAUUUGAGCUUUCGUUUCAGUGAAUGUUUCCACUUGGAUUAUCUAAUGUGAAAUGUGUUCAAAGAAUCACAACUCAGAUGAAGUCUUCUGUCAGUCAGCAGCUCUUUUGAUCAUCGACGCCUCCUCAAACUCUCACAGCUACACACAGAGCCGUGGAUAUGCUGAUAUGAUCACCCUGGCAACAUCACGAACCACUGAGGGCAAAACACCAGUGUCCUCUCUUAAGGAUGCGAGCCAGUGACAACGACAGCUUGGCAAUCCAUUAUUCACACACCAUUGCACCCGU
rnacentral:lncRNA from 1 species